rnacentral:rRNA from 1 species
GAUGAAAGCUGGCGGCGUGCCUAACACAUGCAAGUCGAGCGGCAGCGAGUUUUACACUGAAUUCUGGAAGCUUCUGAGUAGUACAGAAGAUUUAUUCAAGAGUUUUGUGUAAAAUGUCGGCGAGCGGCGGACGGCUGAGUAACGCGUAGGAAUUUGCCCCAAAGUGAGGAAUAACUGCCCGAAAGGGUAGCUAAUGCCGCAUAUGGUCUUCGGAUUAAAGCCUUCGGGCGCUUUGGGAGAAGCCUGCGUUGGAUUAGGUAGUUGGUAGGGUAAUGGCCUACCAAGCCGACGAUCCAUAGCUGGUCUGAGAGGAUGAUCAGCCAGACUGGAACUGAGACACGGUCCAGACUCCUACGGGAGGCAGCAGUGAGGAAUCUUCCACAAUGGGCGAAAGCCUGAUGGAGCAACGCCGCGUGAAGGAUGAAGGCCUUCGGGUUGUAAACUUCUUUUAUGAGUGAAGAAUAUGACGGUAACUCAUGAAUAAGCACCGGCUAACUACGUG